AUUUUUAUUUAUAUAGUUUAUAAAAACAUUACAUUUUCAUUGUAAAAUUAAAUAUCUCUUUUUAUAA
rnacentral:tRNA from 2 species